rnacentral:rRNA from 1 species
UACGUAGGGGGCUAGCGUUGUCCGGAUUUAUUGGGCGUAAAGAGCUCGUAGGCGGCUCGGUAAGUCACGUGUGAAAUCUCCACGCUUAACGUGGAGGGGUCACGUGAUACUGCUGUGGCUAGAGUCCGGUAGGGGAGUGUGGAAUUCCCGGUGUAGCGGUGAAAUGCGCAGAGAUCGGGAGGAACACCCGUAGCGAAGGCGGCACUCUGGGCCGGAACUGACGCUGAGGAGCGAAAGCGUGGGGAGCAAACAGG